rnacentral:rRNA from 1 species
AGCUCCAAUAGCGUAUAUUAAAGUUGCUGCAGUUAAAAAGCUCGUAGUUGGAUUUGUGGCGCGGCCGUCCGGCGGGGGUCCUUCUAUGGUCUCGUUUGUCCUGGUUUUCGGCCGCUCCUUUCUCGGGUAGAGCGUAAUGGCUGGCAUUAGGUUGUCGGCCGCUUCGCGCCCGUCGUUUACUGUGAAAAAAUUAGAGUGUUCAAAGCAGGCUUAGGCCGUUGGAUACAUUAGCAUGGAAUAAUGAGAUAGGGCCACGGCGGUCUAUUUUGUUGGUUUGCACGUUGUGGUAAUGAUUAACAGGAACGGUUGGGGGUAUUCGUAUUCAAUUGUCAGAGGUGAAAUUCUUGGAUUUGUGGAAGACGAACUACUGCGAAAGCAUUUACCAAGGAUGUUUUCAUUA